rnacentral:rRNA from 1 species
GACGAAGGGGGCUAGCGUUGUUCGGAUUUACUGGGCGUAAAGCGCACGUAGGCGGAUCGUUAAGUCGGGGGUGAAAUCCUGGAGCUCAACUCCAGAACUGCCUUCGAUACUGGCGAUCUAGAGUCCGGAAGAGGUGAGUGGAACUCCUAGUGUAGAGGUGGAAUUCGUAGAUAUUAGGAAGAACACCAGUGGCGAAGGCGGCUCACUGGUCCGGUACUGACGCUGAGGUGCGAAAGCGUGGGGAGCAAACAGG